rnacentral:piRNA from 1 species
UGCUACUUGUUUUGAGAAAUUUGAGG